UGAGAAAAACAUUAGAGAAACCUCAAUGGAAGAACUCUCUGAGGUUCUAGGGAAGAAUCCUUCAUUGCCUUUUCAUAGCUUCUUGUAGCUCCUGGCUUUCCUUGGCUUGUGGCUGCAUCACUCCAAUCUCUACCUUCAUAUUGUCUUCCUUUCUGUCUGCCUUAUCUUCGGUCUUUGUAAAGACACUUUUUUUUAAAAUUUAUAGCUUACUUGCUUAAUUCAGGAUAAUCUUAUCUUGAGAUCCAUAAUUACAUUUUCAGAGACUCUUUUAUUCAAAGAGGGUCACAUUUGCAGGUUUCAGGACAUGGUCAUAUCUUUUAGGGGCCACUGUUCAACCCACUACAAGUGCCCACCCUCUGUGAGGAUUUACUGUGUUGCAGGCACUAGUUUUUAAGCAUUUCUACUUAGAAUAUUUAGUUUUCAAAACAACCCUAAGUAAUAGGUACUGUUAUCAUCUAUGCUCAACAGAUAUCGUAACAGAGACUCAGAGAAGUUAAGAAAUUUGUUCAUGGUCAUAUAAUAACCAGUAGAAAUAAAAUAUAGUUGACGGAACUGCAGAGCCUUCCCUCCCAGCCCAUGCAAGUUUCUAUAAUUAUUGUAGCAAAUAAAAAGGCCCUCUUUCUCUCUUUUUUGUUAAGGAAAACCUGUUUGCUGUAAAUUUCUGGUUUUGCACUAAGAGAUAAUAGUUUAGAUUUGGAUUUGUCUAACUUUGAUCUUAACCUCUUUUUUUUUUUUCUAAAUCACUUUUAUUAAGACAGCUUUUGAAAGCCAUUUCUGUUAAAACAUACUACAAUGGAGAAACACGAUACAACAAUUACUGUAUAUAGAAUUCAUCUUCCAUCCUGAGGAUAAUAAAGGGCCUGGGACUAUCACAAUUUGGUUACUCCAAAGUGUCUUGUCACAAAAGAUUAAUGACAGCUAUGCUU
rnacentral:lncRNA from 1 species